UUUCCAGACUCCUACGGGAGGCAGCAGUGGGGGAUAUUGCACAAUGGGGGGAACCCUGAUGCAGCGACGCCGCGUGGGUGAAGAAGCGCCUCGGCGCGUAAAGCCCUGUCAGCAGGGAAGAAAAUGACGGUACCUGAAGAAGAAGCCCCGGCUAACUACGUGCCAGCAGCCGCGGUAAUACGUAGGGGGCAAGCGUUAUCCGGAUUUAUUGGGUUUAAAGGGUGCGUAGGCGGUCCGGAAAGUCAGCGGAAAAAGCCCGGGGCUCACCCCCGGCGAGCCGUUGAAACUGUCGGACUAGAGACGGCGAGAAGUACGCGGAAUGCGCGGUGUAGCGGUGAAAUGCAUAGAUAUCGCGCAGAACUCCGAUUGCGAAGGCAGCGUACCGGCGCCGGACUGACGCUGAGGCACGAAAGCGUGGGUAUCGAACAGGAUUAGAUACCCUUGUA
rnacentral:rRNA from 1 species